GCAGUCUGAAACUCGAGUGCAUGAAGCUGGAAUCGCUAGUAAUCGCAAAUCAGAAUGUUGCGGUGAAUACGUUCCCGGGUCUUGUACACACCGCCCGUCACACCAUGGGAGUUGGAAAUGCCCGAAGUCAGUGACCCAACUUAAGGGAGGGAGCUGCCGAAGGCAGGUUCGAUGACUGGGGUGAAGUCGUAACAAGGUAAC
rnacentral:rRNA from 1 species